UCCAAGUCUCUCUUUGUGGACAUCUAUAUAUUGUACAUCUAUAUUGUACGUUACAUACGUCAUGUAACGUACAAUAUAGAUGUACAAUAUAUAGAUGUCCACAAAGAGAGACUUGGA